AUUCCUAAUUGUUGUAAAGCACAUAAGUGAUAGCAAUAGUUUGGUGAAGUUCCAGCAAGUUGGGUUUGAUUCCUGGAGACCGGAUGGAGAAAUAUCAGCUGUAAUCCAUAUCUUUUCUAAGAACAUCCCAGUCAUUUCUUUGAUCCCACCCAUCCACCUUAUCUGUUGCUUUUCUCUUCUCUUCCCUCAAUUUUGCCAGGAAUAUUGUUUUUCUAGACUCUCAUUGAAUCUGAGCCAGUCUGGUGUAGUGGUUAAUGCAUCAGGCUAGAAACCAGGAGAUGGUGAGUUCUAGUCUCGCCUUAGGCAUGAAGCCAGCUGGGUGGCUUUGAGCCAGUCACUCUCAGCCUUAGGAAACAGGAAAUGGCAAUCCAUUUCUGAAAUCCUGCCAAGAAAACUGCAGAGACUUUUUCAGGCAGUCACCAGGAGUCAACCCUGACUUGAAGGCACCAAAAACAAACAAACAUCCAUUUGUAUCUCAUACCCAAAAGACUGUACCUGGGUGUGCCGUAGCUGACUGGAUUGUGUUUGUCUUCUGUUUCCUCUUAUGCAGUUGAUUUGCUUUCAGUGAUGUCCAGGUUUAGAAUCUGUGUUUUUGUUGCUUGGCAAUAAACAAUGAAUUGUCUUUGCAGAACUCUAA